CUUUCGGUGACGGUGGAUAUAAACGGAAGGGUCUCGGCCGAGUCCGCUGGCUCAGAAUUUCUUAGUGACUCGUCGUGAUUCGGCCCCAGCAAGUCUCGGACAACAUCCGACCAGGCAAAGAGCCUCAAUCGUACUCCAAGGUCGCUUCUCCAGAGGGAAGUUUCUGUCGAUCUCUACAGAUUUGGGGCAGCCGGGAUGAGAGCAGUCGUCUGAGGCUGGUGAUGCGUGCUCGUGUUCGUUGCAAGGCUGAGUCCGCUUGCUCAGUCCCUCGAUUGCUAACGUGGUGGUGGCCCUUCGCAUAAAGGAAGCGCACUAUAGGCGGUAUCAAUCUCCUGCAGUAACUCUCAUUCGACCUUUGGCUUGUUCGUUCUCUAAAAGUUUUUCUCUGGGCACAGUGGAUGGUGCAGAAACGAGCUUGAGAGCCGACGUCUACAGCGGCGUGAUUUUAUGGGAGGUCGCCACGGAACUAGUUCCUUGCAGGGACGGAAUGAAUCCAAUGCAAGGAAGUUCUUCCAGCACGAGGAGUCCUGCAAGCCGGAUGAUCUGUGACCGAAGCGAUUGCCUCCAAAGAUCUCCAGCUGGUCGCAAGUCUGGUGGAACUCCUCUUCGACUAGGUGGCAGAAACCCAAAAACCAGGUGAAUUAGAUAUCACAGUACAGAAACAAAAUUAGAAACGUAAGUGACUCUUCUACGGACGAACUAAAUAAAACCAAGAAACUAAAAGAC